GGGCGCAUAGCUCAGGCGGUUAGAGCGCUUCGCUGAUAACGAAGAGGUCCCUGGUUCAAGUCCAGGUGCGCCCA
rnacentral:tRNA from 1 species